ACGGAAGGCAGCAGUGGGGAAUAUUGCACAAUGGGCGCAAGCCUGAUGCAGCGAUGCCGCGUGAGGGAAGAAGGUUUUCGGAUUGUAAACUCCUGUCUUAAAGGACGAUAAUGACGGUACUUUAGGAGGAAGCUCCGGCUAACUACGUGCCAGCAGCCGCGGUAAUACGUAGGGAGCGAGCGUUGUCCGGAAUUACUGGGUGUAAAGGGAGCGUAGGCGGGACUGCAAGUCAGAUGUGAAAUGCCGGGGCUUAACCCCGGAGCUGCAUUUGAAACUGUGGUUCUUGAGUGAAGUAGAGGCAAGCGGAAUUCCUGGUGUAGCGGUGAAAUGCGUAGAUAUCAGGAGGAACACCGGUGGCGAAGGCGGCUUGCUGGGCUUUUACUGACGCUGAGGCUCGAAAGCGUGGGUAGCAAACAGGAUUAGAUACCCUGGUA
rnacentral:rRNA from 1 species